GACGAACGCUGGCGGCGUGCUUAACACAUGCAAGUCGAACGGAAAGGCCCUGCUUUUGUGGGGUGCUCGAGUGGCGAACGGGUGAGUAACACGUGAGUAACCUGCCCUUGACUUUGGGAUAACUUCAGGAAACUGGGGCUAAUACCGGAUAGGAGCUCCUGCUGCAUGGUGGGGGUUGGAAAGUUUCGGCGGUUGGGGAUGGACUCGCGGCUUAUCAGCUUGUUGGUGGGGUAGUGGCUUACCAAGGCUUUGACGGGUAGCCGGCCUGAGGGGGUGACCGGCCACAUUGGGACUGAGAUACGGCCCAGACUCCUACGGGAGGCAGCAGUGGGGAAUAUUGCACAAUGGGCGGAAGCCUGAUGCAGCAACGCCGCGUGCGGGAUGACGGCCUUCGGGUUGUAAACCGCUUUCGCCUGUGACGAAGCGUGAGUGACGGUAAUGGGUAAAGAAGCACCGGCUAACUACGUGCCAGCAGCCGCGGUGAUACGUAGGGUGCGAGCGUUGUCCGGAUUUAUUGGGCGUAAAGGGCUCGUAGGUGGUUGAUCGCGUCGGAAGUGUAAUCUUGGGGCUUAACCCUGAGCGUGCUUUCGAUACGGGUUGACUUGAGGAAGGUAGGGGAGAAUGGAAUUCCUGGUGGAGCGGUGGAAUGCGCAGAUAUCAGGAGGAACACCAGUGGCGAAGGCGGUUCUCUGGGCCUUUCCUGACGCUGAGGAGCGAAAGCGUGGGGAGCGAACAGGCUUAGAUACCCUGGUAGUCCACGCUGUAAACGGUGGGUACUAGGUGUGGGGUCCAUUCCACGGGUUCCGUGCCGUAGCUAACGCUUUAAGUACCCCGCCUGGGGAGUACGGCCGCAAGGCUAAAACUCAAAGGAAUUGACGGGGCCCCGCACAAGCGGCGGAGCAUGCGGAUUAAUUCGAUGCAACGCGUAGAACCUUACCUGGGUUUGACAUGGAUCGGGAGUGCUCAGAGAUGGGUGUGCCUCUUUUGGGGUCGGUUCACAGGUGGUGCAUGGCUGUUGUCAGCUCGUGUCGUGAGAUGUUGGGUUAAGUCCCGCAACGAGCGCAACCCUUGUUCACUGUUGCCAGCACGUUAUGGUGGGGACUCAGUGGAGACCGCCGGGGUCAACUCGGAGGAAGGUGGGGAUGACGUCAAGUCAUCAUGCCCCUUAUGUCCAGGGCUUCACGCAUGCUACAAUGGCUGGUACAGAGAGUGGCGAGCCUGUGAGGGUGAGCGAAUCUCGGAAAGCCGGUCUCAGUUCGGAUUGGGGUCUGCAACUCGACCUCAUGAAGUCGGAGUCGCUAGUAAUCGCAGAUCAGCAACGCUGCGGUGAAUACGUUCCCGGG
rnacentral:rRNA from 1 species